rnacentral:rRNA from 1 species
AGAGUUUGAUCCUGGCUCAGGACGAACGCUGGCGGCGUGCUUAACACAUGCAAGUCGAACGGAAGUUACGAGGAAGCUUGCGAAUUGUAACUUUAGUGGCGGACGGGUGAGUAACGCGUGGAUAACCUGCCUACAUGCCUGGGACAACACCGGGAAACUGGUGCUAAUACCGGAUACGCUCUUGGAUGCACAUGCAUUUGAAAGGAAAGGAGUAAUCCGCAGGUAGAUGGGUCCGCGUCCCAUUAGCUAGUUGGGGGUGUAAAAGACCACCAAGGCGACGAUGGGUAGCCGGCCUGAGAGGGUGGACGGCCACACUGGAACUGAGACACGGUCCAGACUCCUACGGGAGGCAGCAGUGGGGAAUCUUCCGCAAUGGGCGAAAGCCUGACGGAGCAACGCCGCGUGAGUGAAGAAGGCCUUCGGGUCGUAAAACUCUGUCUUCAGGGAAGAAAAAAAUGACGGUACCUGAGGAGGAAGCCCCGGCUAACUACGUGCCAGCAGCCGCGGUAAAACGUAGGGGGCGAGCGUUGUCCGGAAUUACUGGGCGUAAAGGGCGCGUAGGCGGUUAUUUAAGUCAGAGGUGAAAACUACCGGCUCAACCGGUAGCCUGCCUUUGAAACUGGAUGACUUGAGGGCAGGAGAGGGGAGUGGAAUUCCCAGUGUAGCGGUGAAAUGCGUAGAUAUUGGGAGGAACACCAGUGGCGAAGGCGGCUCUCUGGCCUGUUUCUGACGCUGAGGCGCGAAAGCGUGGGGAGCAAACGGGAUUAGAUACCCUGGUAGUC